GAUGAAGAACGCAGCGAAAUGCGAUACUUGGUGUGAAUUGCAGAAUCCCGUGAACCAUCGAGUCUUUGAACGCAAGUUGCGCCCGAAGCCAUUAGGCCGAGGGCACGCCUGCCUGGGCGUCACACGUCGUUGCCCCCCCAUCUACUCCUUCGGGAUUGCGGGGGGCGGAUGAUGGCCUCCCGUGCGCCUCGUCGCGCGGUUGGCAUAAAUGCCAAGUCCUCGGCGACGCACGCCACGACAAUCGGUGGUUGCGAAACCUCGGUUGCCCGUCGUGUGCGGUCGUCGCGCAUCGAGGGCUCGAAAAAAUUGCCGGGCUCCGGCUCGGCUUUCAACGCGAAACCAGGUCAGGCGGGGUUACCCGCUGAAUUUAAGCAUAUCAAUAAGCGGAGGA
rnacentral:misc_RNA from 1 species